UCUGUGGACAUACAGACAGCGAGGAUGGUGUCUAGGCCCAGUUACUAAGAGAGUCAGAUUUGCAGCUGUACAAAUCCAAACCCCUACUGAUUUGCAUGAGCCCACAGCACAGUCACCACCCUGAUAACUUCUUAAUAGGCUGUUCACCCCAGAUGCAGGCAUCAGUCUCAGUCAGAACACAGCGUGGACAUGAGGGUCCUCACUCAGCUCCUGGGUCUCCUGCUGCUCUGGAUUCCAAGUACCAGAUGUGACAUCCAGAUGACCCAGUCUCCAUCCACUCUGUCUGCAUCUCCUGGAGACACAGUCACCAUCAAAUGUCAGGCCAGUCAGUAUAUUAGCAAUGAGUUAAGCUGGUACCAACAGAAACCAGGGAAAGCACAUAAACUCCUGAUCUAUGGUGCAAACGGGUUACAAUCUGGAAUUCCCUCUAGAUUUAGUGGCAGUGGACUUGGGACAGAGUUCACUCUUACCAUCAGCAGCCUGCAGCCUGAAGACAUUGCCACUUAUUACUGUCAACAGGAUUAUGAUAACCCACCCACAGUGAUACAAGCCAUAACAUAAACCUCCAAGAAGUAGAAGUGUGAGCCUGGGCUGCCCCAGCUACUUUCCUCAUGUUUCCACUUGCAGGAUCUGUCCUAGGAACAUAGGAAUUCUGCCCAUGCUUACCUGGAACAGCAGUUCUCAAGGUCUGAAAUGUUUGAGUAAAUGUGAUUGUAGGCUUCAGCUAUUGGUGCUGGGCUGGAAAUUGAAAUACUAAAGUAAGUCCAAACUAUAAAUAUGGAAAUACUUCAUAUUUAUUUGUCUUUUAAUUAUGAACAGCUAUUCAAAAUAUUG